rnacentral:rRNA from 1 species
AAGCUCGUAGUUGAAUUUCGGGUUAGUAGGUUGGUCAUGCCUCUGUAUGUACUGGUCUCACUGAUUCCUCCUUCCUGGUGAACCGUAAUGCCAUUAAUUUGGUGUUGCGGGGAAUUUGGACUGUUACUUUGAAAAAAUUAGAGUGUUUAAAGCAAGCUAACGCUUGAAUACAUUAGCAUGGAAUAAUGAAAUAGGACGUUCGAUCCUAUUUUGUUGGUUUCUAGGAUUGACGUAAUGAUUAAUAGGGAUAGUUGGG